CCUCAGUAGCGGCGAGUGAAGCGGCAAAAGCUCAAAUUUGAAAUCUGGCGUCUUUGGCGUCCGAGUUGUAAUUUGAAGAAGGUAUCUUUGGGCCCGGCUCUUGUCUAUGUUCCUUGGAACAGGACGUCACAGAGGGUGAGAAUCCCGUGCGAUGAGAUGACCCGGGUCUGUGUAAAGUUCCUUCGACGAGUCGAGUUGUUUGGGAAUGCAGCUCUAAGUGGGUGGUAAAUUCCAUCUAAAGCUAAAUAUUGGCGAGAGACCGAUAGCGAACAAGUACAGUGAUGGAAAGAUGAAAAGAACUUUGAAAAGAGAGUGAAAAAGUACGUGAAAUUGUUGAAAGGGAAGGGCUUGAGAUCAGACUUGGUAUUUUGCAUGUUGCUCUCUCGGGGGCGGCCGCUGCGGUUUACCGGGCCAGCAUCGGUUUGGAGCGGCAGGAUAAUGGCGGAGGAAUGUGGCACGGCUUCUGCUGUGUGUUAUAGCCUCUGACGAUACUGCCAGCCUAGACCGAGGACUGCGGUUUUUUACCUAGGAUGUUGGCAUAAUGAUCUUAAGUCGCCCGUCUUGAAACACGGACCAAGGGAGUCUAACGUCUAUGCGAGU
rnacentral:rRNA from 1 species